rnacentral:tRNA from 2 species
CCUGUAGCUCAGUUGGAUAGAGCAACGGCCUUCUAAGCCGUGGGUCGAGGGUUCGAAUCCCCCCAGGC